rnacentral:rRNA from 1 species
UACGUAGGGUGCGAGCGUUGUCCGGAAUUAUUGGGCGUAAAGGGCUCGUAGGCGGUUUGUCGCGUCGGGAGUGAAAACCUUGGGCUUAACUCAGGGCUUGCUUUCGAUACGGGCAGACUAGAGGUAUGCAGGGGAGAACGGAAUUCCUGGUGUAGCGGUGAAAUGCGCAGAUAUCAGGAGGAACACCGGUGGCGAAGGCGGUUCUCUGGGCAUGAUCUGACGCUGAGACGCGAAAGCGUGGGGAGCGAACAGG